GGCCCUAUCGUCUAGUCUGGUUUAGGACACCGGGUUUUCAUCCCGACAACACCAGUUCAAAUCUGGUUGGGGCCG
rnacentral:tRNA from 1 species